UACAGAGGUGUCAAACGUUGUCCGGAAUUAUUGGGCGUAAAGGGCGCGUAGGCGGCCGGGUAAGUGAGAUGUGAAAGCUCUGGGCUCAACCCAGGAAUUGCAUUUCAUACUGCUCGGCUUGAGAUUGGUAGAGGAUGGCGGGAUUCCAGGUGUAGCGGUGAAAUGCGUAGAUAUCUGGAGGAACACCUGUGGCGAAGGCGGCCUGCUGGGCAGUAGCUGACGCUGAGGCGCGACAGCGUGGGGAGCAAACAGG
rnacentral:rRNA from 1 species